rnacentral:tRNA from 1 species
AUUUGUAUAGUUUAUAUAAAACAUUACAUUUUCAUUGUAAAAUUAGAACUAACUUCUUUCAAAUA